rnacentral:rRNA from 1 species
UUAGUACUUGUACCGGANNGGCCUGGCAAUCCCAAAUGUUGUAGACAU